GAAGAUAGCUUCAUUCGGGUUUAGUAAAAGUGUUGCCAUAGUUGAGAAAAGGCAACAGUUAUAUCUUUUUUAUAUAUUUUUCUUAGCUACUGCAACACUUUCUACUCUAUGAACAUGACAUUUUUCUUUUCUUUGGAAUUUCCCUUAACCUAAAACCCUCUCGUAUUUUCAUUAUCUAAUUUGAUUUUUCACAUUCUGCCACUAGCCCACUACAACCCCUCAAUCUCAUCCAAAUUUUCCCUCAUAUCUAAAUUAUUCCCUUAAUGAACUUAAUUAUUUUUUCCCUUUUAAUUUCAGAUAUUAAAAAUCUGAACUAAAUUAGGGUUUCAAUUUUGUUAUCAAUCUCUCUCACUUUCGAUUUCCUCCAAUGCCGUCAAUAGUGAACAAUUCAGUCCCACGUUCAUCACCACCCCCGUUAACGGUGUCGGAAGCAACUUUUAGGGUUAAUCAGCGAUCGCGGUCGUGCACAACUUCAGACAUAGUCGCACAACCUUAAGUAGUUCCGCAAGUUGUCAUCGCCGGAAACCAAAGCGGCGGCAAGUCGAUUGUUUUCGAAGCUCUCGUGGCCUGCGGUAUCUCACCACGAGGGUGCAGAUUAAAAGGAGCGGGGUCUGGACCUCAAUGAAGAAGGAUAUUGCCUUGGACGUUAUCAAGUGAUACAAAUAUUAACCACAAUGAGGACUAUGGAGGCUCCUGCCUGAGGCUUCUAUUCAGAGGAUGAUAAUUAUCAUGACAUGAGCUCAUCGUUGUUGAUUAGGAUGAUACAUAUGUUCAAAUGUUCAAGUAUUACAAGCUUCAUGGAAUAAGUGAAGAUAUAUUGGAUUUUGUUCAUACUAUAUUAGAUAGGUUUUAGAAGAUAUAGUUUACCGGGCCAUGGCCUUGGAAUAUUUAUUUUAGUGUAUAUAACAUUAGAAAUAAUAUUUUUUUUUUCUGCUAAGAUGGAUGUAAAUCGUGGAAUGAAUAUUGUGUUUAUGGAUUAAAGUUAAUUUAGAAUGCACUAUAAGUUUUCUGGGUUUUA